GUGAGGAAUAUUGGACAAUGGAUGGAAAUCUGAUCCAGCCAUGCCGCGUGCAGGAAGACGGCCCUAUGGGUUGUAAACUGCUUUUGUAUGGGAGCAAUAAGGGUUACGAGUAGCCUGAUGAGAGUACCAUACGAAUAAGGACCGGCUAACUCCGUGCCAGCAGCCGCGGUAAUACGGAGGGUCCGAGCGUCAUCCGGAUUUAUUGGGUUUAAAGGGUGCGUAGGCGGUUUUAUAAGUCAGCGGUGAAAUUUUCCGGCUCAACCGGGGGACUGCCGUUGAUACUGUAAGGCUAGGAUAUGGUUGCUGUGGGUGGAAUGUGUGGUGUAGCAGUGAAAUGCUUAGAGAUCACACAGAAUAUCGAUUGCGAAGGCAGCUCACAAAGCCAUCAUUGACGCUGAGGCACGAAAGUGUGGGGAUCAAACAGGAUUAGAAACCCUAGUAGUCC
rnacentral:rRNA from 1 species